ACAAGUAUUCGUGAAACAUAUCAAUCAGAAAUAUAGAUCGACUUUGUGACGGCUUUUCGAGCUGAUAAUAUAACAUCCGUAUUAUUAUAUUCAAAUACAAGGAUUUAUAUCUAAUAGUCGAAUAGAAAGAUUUAGAUUUUUGUGAAUAGCGUACAUUGCUAGAAAAUAAUUUGUUUACAUCUAAAAAUAUUGUGGAUUGAUGAAGUAACAUUUACAAGAAGAAUUUUUUAACUGUUAUAGAAACAUAUAUACAUGAGCAUGAAAAAAUCUAUGAAUUAAACAACUUUUCAGUAUUAAUUCACAUACGAUAUGUUUAUAUUCUUUAUCUCAUUCGCGAAUGCAGAAAUUUAUCUCCAUUUUCCAAGAAAUGAAUUAUUAUAUUUCUUAAAAGACGAAUUAUUGUCUUCUAUUCUAAGCAUAACUGGAAUGACUGUCUAGCAUAUGUUCAAUAAUUAAAUAUUAUUUUUGCAGAUAGAUAAGUCAAAAAGAGUCAAUAUUUUUGGCUUUCAAGAUCGCUUCACUUAAUGGACUUUUAUUUUGGGAAACUUUAAAGGAAGAAAAGUGUAUUUAAAAGUUUAUUAAACGAACUACAUUUUUCGUGGUACGCAUCAUCUGAUGAACCCAUCCAAUGAGCCACCAGUAAGUGCACGUCGCCUGAUGGAAGACUCGAACAUGAGCCACCAGUCGUAGGCACCGCCCAAUGACACUCGUCAAAGGAAACAGAUAUACAAAUAAACAAAAAAUAUUACAAUCUAAAAAUAUAA